UACGAAGGGGGCUAGCGUUGUUCGGAAUUACUGGGCGUAAAGCGCAUGUAGGCGGAUAUUUAAGUCAGGGGUGAAAUCCCGCAGCUCAACUGCGGAACUGCCUUUGAUACUGGGUAUCUUGAGUAUGGAAGAGGUGAGUGGAAUUCCGAGUGUAGAGGUGAAAUUCGUAGAUAUUCGGAGGAACACCAGUGGCGAAGGCGGCUCACUGGUCCAUUACUGACGCUGAGGUGCGAAAGCGUGGGGAGCAAACGGG
rnacentral:rRNA from 1 species